AAUUGAUGGAGGAAAUGCGAUUAUUAGAAAGAAACUAUGUCCUAUUUUGCGAUAACAAAGCUGACAUCAGUAUGGUUCAUAAUCCAGUUCAACAUGAUUGGACUAAGCAUAUAGAGAUUGACAAACAUUUUAUAAAAGAAAAAGUUGUCAAUAGUUCCUUAAAUAUCUCUUAUGUAGGGUCGAAAAACCAGUUGGCUGAUGUGUUCACUAAGGGAUUACGUUGUAAGGAGUUUCAUACCCUAGUUUGCAAGU
rnacentral:misc_RNA from 1 species